rnacentral:rRNA from 1 species
UGAAUUUUUUCGGAAUGAAGCCAUAUUGACUUAUCGGCGGACGGGUGAGUAACGCGUGGGUAACCUGCCUCAUACAGGGGGAUAACAGUUAGAAAUGACUGCUAAUACCGCAUAAGCGCACGGGACUGCAUGGUCCAGUGUGAAAAACCGAGGUGGUAUGAGAUGGACCCGCGUCUGAUUAGCUGGUUGGCGGGGUAACGGCCCACCAAGGCGACGAUCAGUAGCCGACCUGAGAGGGUGGCCGGCCACAUUGGGACUGAGACACGGCCCAAACUCCUACGGGAGGCAGCAGUGGGGAAUAUUGCACAAUGGGGGAAACCCUGAUGCAGCAACGCCGCGUGAGUGAAGAAGUAUUUCGGUAUGUAAAGCUCUAUCAGCAGGGAAGAGAAUGACGGUACCUGACUAAGAAGCCCCGGCUAACUACGUGCCAGCAGCCGCGGUAAUACGUAGGGGGCGAGCGUUAUCCGGAUUUACUGGGUGUAAAGGGAGCGUAGACGGUUCUGCAAGUCUGAAGUGAAAGCCCGUGGCUUAACCGCGGAACGGCUUUGGAAACUGUGGAACUGGAGUGCUGGAGAGGCAAGCGGAAUUCCUAGUGUAGCGGUGAAAUGCGUAGAUAUUAGGAGGAACACCAGUGGCGAAGGCGGCUUGCUGGACAGUAACUGACGUUGAGGCUCGAAAGCGUGGGGAGCAAACAGGAUUAGAUACCCUGGUAGUCCACGCGGUAAACGAUGAAUGCUAGGUGUUGGGGAGCAAAGCUCUUCGGUGCCGCCGCAAACGCAGUAAGCAUUCCACCUGGGGAGUACGUUCGCAAGAAUGAAACUCAAAGGAAUUGACGGGGACCCGCACAAGCG